rnacentral:sRNA from 1 species
CACAAAUGUGAUAUAACACAGGUUGUAACAGCGCAAGAUUUCCCCAAUCUGUCCUGCCAAUGUGGCUCAACCCUUCACUUGAGAGACCCCUUCUCAGC